CAAUAGCGUAUAUUAAAGUUGUUGCGGUUAAAAAGCUCGUAGUUGGAGUUCUGCCAGGUGCCGCCUGUCCGCCCCAGUGGUGAGUACGUGGCGCGCAUUUGGCCCUUUCAAGGGGAGCGUAUCUGCACUUUAUUGUGUGGUGCGGGAUCCUUGACUUUUACUUUGAGGAAAUAGGAGUGUUCCAAGCAGGCUCUCGUCGUGCACAGCUCAGCAUGGAAUAAUAGCAUUGGACCUCGAUUCUAAGCUGUUGGUUGCCAGAAGCGAGGUAAUGAUGAAGAGGGAUAGUUGGGGGCAUUCGUAUUUAACUGUCAGAGGUGAAAUUCUUGGAUUUGUUAAAGACGGACUACUGUGAAAGCAUCUGCCAUGGAUGUUUUCAUUGA
rnacentral:rRNA from 1 species